rfam:Nicotiana attenuata strain TT chromosome 6, whole genome shotgun sequence.
UGGGGCGUGGCUAAGUUGUACGGCAACGGGUUUUGGUCCCGCAAUUUGGAGGUUCGAAUCCUUCCAUCCCAG